GUUUUAAUAGUUUAAAUAAAACAUAAAUUUUGUAAAUUUAAAAUAAGAAUUUUCUUUUAAAACU
rnacentral:tRNA from 1 species